rnacentral:rRNA from 1 species
UUUGACUAAUCAGUGAAACUGAUCUUUCGGUACAAAAGCCGAAAUAAACACAUAAGACGAGAAGACCCUGUGGAGCUUUAAAUUAUAACCAAAACAUGCUAACGCAGCAUACAAAACAUGGCCAAAAAUUUUAAGUUGGGGCGACUUCGGAACCAAACAGAACUUCCGAGAAUAAAGAUAUAACUCUUACCAAGACCAACAAGUCAAAGCAAACAAUGACCCAGUACCACUGACCAACGAACCAAGUUACCCCAGGGAUAACAGCGCUAUCUUCUUCAAGAGUCCAUAUCGACAAGAAGGUUUACGACCUCGAUGUUGGAUCAGGACACCCAAAUGGUGCAGCAGCUAUUAAAGGUUCGUUUGUUCAACGAUUAACAGUCCU